CUUAGCUCAGCCGGUAGAGCGGCGCAUUCGUAAUGCGUAGGUUGCCGCCAUUGGGACAAGUCGGCGUUCGGGCGGGUCGAGCCCUUCGGAUUGC
rnacentral:tRNA from 1 species